CAGCAAUAUGAAGGCCAGGCUGAAGACUUUGCCGGAUUAGCUGAGAGGUGGUGCAUGGCCGUCGUCAGUUCGUACUGUGAAGCAUCCUGUUAAGUCAGGCAACGAGCGAGACCCACGCCCACAGUUGCCAGCGUACUCUCCGGAGUGACGGGUACACUGUGGGGACCGCCGCUGCUAAAGCGGAGGAAGGAAUGGGCAACGGUAGGUCAGUAUGCCCCGAAUAUCCCGGGCUACACGCGAGCUACAAUGGUUGGUACAAUGGGUAUCUACCCCGAAAGGGGACGGGAAUCUCCUAAAACCAAUCUUAGUUCGGAUUGAGGGCUGCAACUCGCCCUCAUGAAGCUGGAAUCCGUAGUAAUCGCGUUUCAACAGAACGCGGUGAAUACGUCCCUGCUCCUU
rnacentral:rRNA from 1 species